AUCGCUUCUUGGCCUUUUGGCUAAGAUCAAGUGUAGUAAAAAAUACAAAACAACUUGUUCAACAGAUUAAUUGAUUAGGUAAUUCAUAAGCCUCUCUUUUGUUCAAAAGUAGCUACUAAAAAUUGGUAGGCCUA
ensembl:snRNA U2 U2 spliceosomal RNA